rnacentral:rRNA from 1 species
AUUGAACGCUGGCGGCAUGCCUUACACAUGCAAGUCGAACGGCAGCACGGGUGCUUGCCCCUGGUGGCGAGUGGCGAACGGGUGAGUAAUACAUCGGAACAUGUCCUGUAGUGGGGGAUAGCCCGGCGAAAGCCGGAUUAAUACCGCAUACGAUCUACGGAUGAAAGCGGGGGACCUUCGGGCCUCGCGCUAUAGGGUUGGCCGAUGGCUGAUUAGCUAGUUGGUGGGGUAAAGGCCUACCAAGGCGACGAUCAGUAGCUGGUCUGAGAGGACGACCAGCCACACUGGGACUGAGACACGGCCCAGACUCCUACGGGAGGCGGCAGUGGGGAAUUUUGGACAAUGGGCGAAAGCCUGAUCCAGCAAUGCCGCGUGUGUGAAGAAGGCCUUCGGGUUGUAAAGCACUUUUGUCCGGAAAGAAAUCCUUGGCCCUAAUACGGUCGGGGGAUGACGGUACCGGAAGAAUAAGCACCGGCUAACUACGUG